rnacentral:rRNA from 1 species
CUGAUGCAGCGACGCCGCGNUGGGGGAUGAAGGCCUUCGGGUUGUAAACCCCUUUCAGCAGGGAAGAAGCGAAAGUGACGGUACCUGCAGAAGAAGCGCCGGCUAACUACGUGCCAGCAGCCGCGGUAAUACGUAGGGCGCAAGCGUUGUCCGGAAUUAUUGGGCGUAAAGAGCUCGUAGGCGGUUUGUCGCGUCUGCUGUGAAAUCCUGAGGCUCAACCUCGGGCUUGCAGUGGGUACGGGCAGACUAGAGUGCGGUAGGGGUGACUGGAAUUCCUGGUGUAGCGGUGGAAUGCGCAGAUAUCAGGAGGAACACCGAUGGCGAAGGCAGGUCACUGGGCCGCAACUGACGCUGAGGAGCGAAAGCAUGGGGAGCGAACAGGAUUAGAUACCCUGGUAGUCCAUGCCGUAAACGUUGGGCACUAGGUGUGGGGCUCAUUCCACGAGUUCCGUGCCGCAGCAAACGCAUUAAGUGCCCCGCCUGGGGAGUACGGCCGCAAGGCUAAAACUCAAAG